AGAGUUUGAUUAUGGCUCAGGAUGAACGCUGGCGGCGUGCCUAACACAUGCAAGUCGAACGGACUUAUAUUGAAACCUAGUGAUUUAUGAGUUAGUGGCGGACGGGUGAGUAACGCGUGGAAAACCUGCCGUAUACCGGGGGAUAACACUUAGAAAUAGGUGCUAAUACCGCAUAAGCGCACAGCUUCGCAUGAAGCAGUGUGAAAAACUCCGGUGGUAUACGAUGGUUCCGCGUCUGAUUAGCUAGUUGGCGGGGUAACGGCCCACCAAGGCAGCGAUCAGUAGCCGGCCUGAGAGGGUGAACGGCCACAUUGGGACUGAGACACGGCCCAAACUCCUACGGGAGGCAGCAGUGGGGAAUAUUGCACAAUGGGGGAAACCCUGAUGCAGCGACGCCGCGUGAGUGAAGAAGUAUUUCGGUACGUAAAGCUCUAUCAGCAGGGAAGAAAAGGAACUAAAGUUCCCAUGACAGUACCUG
rnacentral:rRNA from 1 species